rnacentral:rRNA from 1 species
UUGGUUAAGUUAGAAAGGGCGCACGGUGGAUGCCUUGGCACUAGGAGCCGAAGAAGGACGGGACUAACACCGAUAUGCUUUGGGGAGCUGUACGUAAGCGUUGAUCCAGAGAUUUCCGAAUGGGGGAACCCACUAUCUUUAGUCGGAUAGUAUCCUUACGUGAAUACAUAGCGUAAGGAAGGCAGACCCAGGGAACUGAAACAUCUAAGUACCUGGAGGAAGAGAAAGAAAAAUCGAUUUCCUGAGUAGCGGCGAGCGAAACGGAAAGAGCCCAAACCAAGAAGCUUGCUUCUUGGGGUUGUAGGACACUCUAUACGGAGUUACAAAAGAAAGUUAUAAAUGAAGCGGUCUGGAAAGGCCCGCCAAAGACGGUAACAGCCCGGUAGUUGAAAUGGCUUUCCCUCCAGAGUGGAUCCUGAGUACGGCGGAACACGUGAAAUUCCGUCGGAAUCCGGGAGGACCAUCUCCCAAGGCUAAAUACUCCCUAGUGACCGAUAGUGAACCAGUACCGUGAGGGAAAGGUGAAAAGCACCCCGGAAGGGGAGUGAAACAGUUCCUGAAACCGUGUGCCUACAAGUAGUUAGAGCCCGUUAAUGGGUGAUAGCGUGCCUUUUGUAGAAUGAACCGGCGAGUUACGAUUUGUUGCAAGGUUAAGCGGAAAAAGCGGAGCCGUAGCGAAAGCGAGUCUGAAUAGGGCGCAUAAGUAACAGGUCGUAGACCCGAAACCAGGUGAUCUACCCAUGUCCAGGAUGAAGGUAAGGUAAUACUUACUGGAGGUCCGAACCCACGCACGUUGAAAAGUGCGGGGAUGAGGUGUGGGUAGCGGAGAAAUUCCAAUCGAACUUGGAGAUAGCUGGUUCUCUCCGAAAUAGCUUUAGGGCUAGCCUCGAGGUAAAGAGUCAUGGAGGUAGAGCACUGUUUGGACUAGGGGCCCUUCUCGGGUUACCGAAUUCAGAUAAACUCCGAAUGCCAUGUACUUAUACUCGGGAGUCAGACUGCGAGUGAUAAGAUCCGUAGUCGAAAGGGAAACAGCCCAGACCACCAGUUAAGGUCCCCAAAUAUAUGUUAAGUGGAAAAGGAUGUGGGGUUGCUUAGACAACCAGGAUGUUGGCUUAGAAGCAGCCACCAUUGAAAGAGUGCGUAAUAGCUCACUGGUCGAGUGACCCCGCGCCGAAAAUGUACCGGGGCUAAACAUAUUACCGAAACUGUGGAUGAACCUCUUCGGAGGUUCGUGGUAGGAGAGCGUUCUAAGGGCGGUGAAGUCAGACCGGAAGGACUGGUGGAGCGCUUAGAAGUGAGAAUGCCGGUAUGAGUAGCGAAAGAAGGGUGAGAAUCCCUUCCACCGAAUAUCUAAGGUUUCCUGAGGAAGGCUCGUCCGCUCAGGGUUAGUCGGGACCUAAGCCGAGGCCGAUAGGCGUAGGCGAUGGACAACAGGUAGAGAUUCCUGUACCAGUGCUAAUUGUUUAACCGAUGGGGUGACACAGAAGGAUAGGGAAUCGCACGAAUGGAAAUGUGCGUCCAAGCAGUGAGUGUGAGAAGUAGGCAAAUCCGCUUCUCGCGAAGCAUGAGCUGUGAUGGGGAAGGAAAUUAAGUACGGAAGUUCCUGAUUUCACGCUGUCAAGAAAAGCCUCUAGGAAGAGUAGUACUGCCCGUACCGCAAACCGACACAGGUAGAUGAGGAGAGAAUCCUAAGGUGAGCGAGAGAACUCUCGUUAAGGAACUCGGCAAAAUGACCCCGUAACUUCGGGAGAAGGGGUGCUCUAUUAGGGUGCAAGCCCGAGAGAGCCGCAGUGAAUAGGCCCAGGCGACUGUUUAGCAAAAACACAGGUCUCUGCAAAACCGUAAGGUGACGUAUAGGGGCUGACGCCUGCCCGGUGCUGGAAGGUUAAGAGGAGUGCUUAGCUUCGGCGAAGGUACGAAUUGAAGCCCCAGUAAACGGCGGCCGUAACUAUAACGGUCCUAAGGUAGCGAAAUUCCUUGUCGGGUAAGUUCCGACCCGCACGAAAGGCGCAACGAUCUGGGCACUGUCUCAACGAGAGACUCGGUGAAAUUAUAGUACCUGUGAAGAUGCAGGUUACCCGCGACAGGACGGAAAGACCCCGUGGAGCUUUACUGCAACCUGAUAUGGAAUGUUUGUACCGCUUGUACAGGAUAGGUAGGAGCCGAAGAGACGUGUGCGCUAGCAUACGAGGAGGCAAUGGUGGGAUACUACCCUGGCUGUAUGACCAUUCUAACCCGCCACGCUUAGCGCGUGGGGAGACAGUGUCAGGUGGGCAGUUUGACUGGGGCGGUCGCCUCCUAAAGAGUAACGGAGGCGCCCAAAGGUUCCC